rnacentral:rRNA from 1 species
GACGAACGCUGGCGGCGUGCCUAACACAUGCAAGUCGAGCGGAGAUGUACUGAAGAUUUAUCGGAUGUACAUCUUAGCGGCGGACGGGUGAGUAACGCGUGGGCAACCUGCCUUUCACUGGGGGAUAACACAGGGAAACCUGUGCUAAUACCGCAUGACAUCACGUAGGGCAUCCUAUGUGAUCAAAGGAGAGAUCCGGUGGAAGAUGGGCCCGCGUCCAAUUAGCUGGUUGGUGAGGUAAAGGCUCACCAAGGCGACGAUUGGUAGCCGAACUGAGAGGUUGAUCGGCCACAUUGGGACUGAGACACGGUCCAGACUCCUACGGGAGGCAGCAGUGGGGAAUUUUGCGCAAUGGGGGAAACCCUGACGCAGCGACGCCGCGUGGAGGAUGACGGCCUCGGUUGUAACGUACCUGUCAGAAGGGACGGAAAGUACCGCCAACGGGACCGUAGACGGUAACCGUUCCUAGAGGAAGGACCCGGCCGUAACCUAACCGUGCCAGCAGCCGCGGU